UACGGAGGGUGCAAGCGUUAUCCGGAUUCACUGGGUUUAAAGGGAGCGUAGGUGGGUUGGUAAGUCAGUGGUGAAAUCCCCGAGCUUAACUUGGGAACUGCCAUUGAUACUAUCAGUCUUGAAUACUGUGGAGGUUAGCGGAAUAUGUCAUGUAGCGGUGAAAUGCUUAGAUAUGACAUAGAACACCAAUUGCGAAGGCAGCUGGCUACACAAAUAUUGACACUGAGGCUCGAAAGCGUGGGGAUCAAACAGG
rnacentral:rRNA from 1 species